UGCUAGAGCUGUUAGAACACUGGAAGGAAAACUACUUGUCUCCCUUUGGCUUCUGGAUCUAUCUGGAGAAUGCCACCCCAAACAGCAGGCCCCAUUUGUCUUGGGGAAUAGACUCUGAACUUGCUGGGAAUCUAUUCCAGAGGGUCUUGGAGAAGCCACACAGUACUGUGUAGCCCAUAACUCAGCUGGUUCAAACCUGGGGCACCUUCAGAUUGGGAGAUUUUUCCUCAUCUAAGUUGCUGGCAUUACAAGAUGGAUGAAGCUGGAUCACUGAAUGACAGCAGGAAACAGAGAAUCCCUAUCCCUGCAGAUCAC